AAAUUUCGCUCUCAAAUUUUCCGAAAUCCCCACCUCAAGUCCCUUCGGCCCCUUCCACCACGCGCAUUGCCCUAGAUUUUUCUUUUCUCCCCCACGCCGCCGCCACUCUCCACCUCCGUCCCCCACGCCGCCGCCACUCUCCACCUCCGCCCCCCACGCCGCCGCCACUCUCCACCUCCGCCCCCCACGCCGCCGCUCAUCUCCACCGUCGCCCCCAGACGCUGCCUACUUCUACCACGGGCCACCGUGCCACCAUAUGUGCUCGACCGUCGCCGCCCCCAUCGUUCCUCUCCACCGCAGUCCGCGUCCUGCCUCUCACCGCUGCUGCUCUUCCUCCCCGCCGCCACAAGAGUUGGACCACCACCCCGCCCUUUCCCCUCGUUGAGGUGGUCGUUCGCCAUCCCAAUUCCCUCAGGGCUGGGGUCGUGUGCUGGGAAUGGGUGUUGGUGGGGUGUUUGUGAAGCAACUGGGGGAUGAAGGAGAUUGCUAAUGAAGCCAUUUUAUGUUUCUCGGUGUCAUCUUGACAGAAAUUGAGCAGAUAAUGAAAAGAAGUGAUGAGGCAACAACGCGGGCAUCUUCUUUGAGUUACUAUGGUACAGAACAAUACUUGAGUAUAUAUUGUUAAUUCAGAGAGAGUAGUUCUAGCAAUGUUUGAUUCAUGAGUGAUGCUUGAAGUUUCAGAUUUACUAUGGUACAACACAGUAUUCAAUUUAGUAGCAGGCUUUUUGUGAGCUCAUUGGGCAACCCUUACUAAAAAUUGGAGAUCUACGGAAUCCAAAUUUUGUAGAUCCAACAGACUAGGAUCUAUCGAGACAUGUUUGCCUUUUGUAGGAAGGAAAUACACAAGAGAACAUAGUAGCCGGUGGUUGACAUCAAGAUUGCACAAUGGAGGAUUGAUGUUGGAGAUGAACCUUUUAGCUAUCAUUUUGUAAAACCGGAUCAGUAUGAACUUAUAGUCCCUAGUUUUUUCUCUAUCUUGGUAGUAGUGAACUUAGAUGAUGUUUCUUGCACAGUUUGUAAAUGUGAUGAAUUAAUGUACCAUAUUAUCAGUUGAUUUAAUAAUAUGCAUGUUGUUAA